AUUGAACGCUGGCGGCAGGCCUAACACAUGCAAGUCGAGCGGAUGAAGGGAGCUUGCUCCUGGAUUCAGCGGCGGACGGGUGAGUAAUGCCUAGGAAUCUGCCUGGCAGUGGGGGAUAACGUCCGGAAACGGGCGCUAAUACCGCAUACGUCCUGAGGGAGAAAGUGGGGGAUCUUCGGACCUCACGCUAUCAGAUGAGCCUAGGUCGGAUUAGCUAGCUGGUGGGGUAAAGGCCUACCAAGGCGACGAUCCGUAACUGGUCUGAGAGGAUGAUCAGUCACACUGGAACUGAGACACGGUCCAGACUCCUACGGGAGGCAGCAGUGGGGAAUAUUGGACAAUGGGCGAAAGCCUGAUCCAGCCAUGCCGCGUGUGUGAAGAAGGUCUUCGGAUUGUAAAGCACUUUAAGUUGGGAGGAAGGGCAGUAAGUUAAUACCUUGCUGUUUUGACGUUACCAACAGAAUAAGCACCGGCUAACUUCGUG
rnacentral:rRNA from 1 species